CUUCGCUUCGUCAAUCACCGGUGGAAGGAGGAGACAAAUUUUUCGGUGGAAGAUUACUAGGUUUCGCUACAGUAGCCGUCCAUUUUCUUAGGGUUUUUUCAUGGUCGCCGCUCUCUAACCUUUUUCUCUUCUCCCCCUCGCCGCUACCUAACCCCUCCUUUUAUACUCACCAUGUUAGGGUUUCAGAUUCGGCUUAUGGAGAUCAAAAGGGUAUCUCUUGGAAGUGCUUUAAGGUGCUCAGUUUGUUUGCCUCAUUUUGGUACUUAAUCUGAAAAAGGUUCGGCAAUGGAAUAUUUGAUGCGUUUGACGGUUUGAACUGUUAUUGCAGACUUAACAUUAACAACAAUCGGAUUCGGCAAGCCUGAAUCAGAUAACGGUGAAGUAUCAGAACCGUCUGAAGCUCCACUUCCAUCCAGAGAUACAUUGGCUGGUUUGAUUUUGGCUUUUAAACCUUUGUGAAAUGCCCCAGUAUACACAUGGGCUUUUAGCCAAUUGACUAUUUCGUGUUGCACAUCAGGGGCCAUAUAACCUUCCUGCAAAUUGAUAUUUGCAGUCAAUGACAACUGCAACUUCAAUCAAGUCUAUAUUUGCACCAUCUGUACGUGGCUCAGCAGUUCCUGAUUUUAGGAGAUUUGAGAUUGUAUCAUGCUUAUUGCAUUUCUCAACAAUGCCAAAACCUAAAAGUGCUGCAUUUGAGCAGGAUUCUUGUGCAUCAAUUGAUACCGGCCAUUGAGAAGAGGAAUCAACAUUAACGGGCUGACUUUCAUCAAACCAUUUAUUUCGCUGUUAACUUGUUGAACUUCGAGCUGAUGGACACUUUUUUGCAGGCAUUUAUUCAAGUUAUGAACGGUACACUCUACACCCAAGUUAGUUCGCAUUGCAGGAGGAUGUGUCUAAGUCCACAUAUUAGAUGACUUGGUCAUCUACGUCAACUG